GAUGAACGCUGGCGGCGUGCCUAAUACAUGCAAGUCGAGCGACGCGUGGACGGGUGAGUGAAAUGUGGAUAACCUCCUAUAAGACUGGGAUAACUUCCGGAAAACGGUGCUUAUCCGGCAUAUUAUAGAUGGAUCCGUGCUGCAUUAGCUAGUUGGUAAGGUAACGGCUGACCAAGGCAACGACCCAUAGCCGACCUGAGAGGAUGAUCGGCCACACUGGAACUGAGACACGGUCCAGACUCCUACGGGAGGCAGCAGUAGGGAAUCUUCCGCAAUGGGCGAAAGCCUGACGGAGCAACGCCGCGUGUGUGAUGAAGGUCUUCGGAUCGUAAAGCUCUGUUAUUAGGGAAGCGGUACCUAAUCAGAAAGCCACGGCUAACUACGUGCCAGCAGCCGCGGUAAUUC
rnacentral:rRNA from 1 species